UGGUUUGGGAUGUAAGUGGAGGAUGAGAUCAGUGUUAUGGGGUGAGGGGGUGGUUUGGGGUAUAAGUUAGUAGUAGGGGGAUGAGGGUCAGUAUUGUGGAGGUGGGAGGAGGUUUGAGGUAUAAGUUGGCAGUAAGGGGAUGAGGUCGCUUAUGGUGGAGUGGAAGAAGGGGAUAUUUGGGAGUACAAGUUAACUCUGGGAGGAUGAGCAUCAUUGUUAUGGGGGCGGGGUAGGAAAUAGCUGGGAUGAGUAAGAAGAGAAAUAAUUAUUAGUGGGGUGAGAGUCAGUGUUGUGAGCAGGCAGGGAAAGGUAAGGGCUGAAAUGACGGGGAUGGGAUUAGCCCUGGCUUUUUUGGGUAAAUUCAGGUGAAGAGUUGCCAUUGGUUGGAGAGGUUCGGGGUUGAGCUUGUUGAAAUCUUGCUGGAGAGAUAGUGAGGGUGGGUGCAUGCAGUAGCGGUGCUAAGCAUGCACAGACUAAGCAAUUGCUUAAGGCCCCUAGCAGGUCAUGGGGGUCCUGAUGUAGCAUAACCCCCCCCCCCAAAAUACCACUAAUCUUAUUUAACUUGGGAGUUUUGAACAAGCAUAUUAAUGUGUUGGUAUAUUAUUUGGUUUGUGGAAAUAAAAAAUACUUAUUGUAUUUGGGGGUGAGGGGUAAGGAGAGGGCCUCCAAUGGGCCAGCACUGCCUCUGGAUGCAUGGCCUAUCCUUGGGGCUGGUAUUUUUUUCUGUGAAACAUCAUGUUUUAUUGGCAUCUGUUUCAAAGAACCCCACCCCCAUGAAGUACUUUGGGGUAGUGGGUAUUUGCUUUCUCUCCCGCUUCCCUGCCCCCCCUUCCUUGAGGAAAGGAGGAGAAAAAUGGAGGAGGGAGAAGCGCAAAAAAAAAAAACAACCUUAAAAGUUAAUUUUUUAAAAUAAAAAUACUUGUGAAAAAUGUGGACUGAACAGAAAAUUGCACUUUUUAGAAACCUGCAGAAUGAAAGAUAUUUAAUUUUUUUCCAUAAAAUGACUUACCUGUUUUUCACCAGUCCUAGCUAAGAGCGAGCUGGGUGUGGUGUCAGGAUUGUUGAAUAGCAAUAUUAGAUUGGCAUGUAUGUGAGAAGGUAGCUUCAAUGUUUAGUGUUGUUUGGUGGCAGGGAUGCUUGUAGUAUGAGUGGAGGUGAGGCAGGUGCUGGGGGAGGAGAAACAAGCCAGGCCCCUGUUAAACCUGUUCCAAAGGAAGAAGGGUAUUAGUUGAACUGGCUGAGGGCCAGGCCCUAAGUACCAGAGUGGAUCCACCUGCAGGCCUGGGUAGCCAGCCUGCCCUAUAAAGCUGUAUGAGAAAGGAAGCAGGGAGCCAGGAGAGGCCAGGGCUUUCCAAGGCCCCGCUCCUGGCCAAGCCAGAUCAGGCAGGGAGCUGUGUACCCUCCACCUCCUUGGGGUGGGGGAGCCAAGAGCAGUCCCCAGCCUGUGUCCUCAUGCCACUGGCCCCUCUGUCCAGGGCAGGCGGAGGGUUUGUGGCUCCCCACAGCUGCGUGUGUGGCUCGCUUUGCCUGGGGAACGGGGCAUUGGAGUCACAACAUGGCAGGUGGAGGGUCCACAGCAUGGUGCCCUAUGCUACCUGGACUCCGUAGUCAGGCUUUAGCUGCCAGCCUGGCUUGGGCGGGGGGAGGCUCAUGGCAAAAAGUGGACAGUUGGGAGGGCCAUGGCCCCCUGACCCACUCCAUCACCCCCCAGUUCUGAUGUUCUUGGUGCGGCCACCAACUCUUGCUGGUGGCCUCUGACCAUUUUUCUUAAUCCUUAAUUAACGUUAGGAAAAACAAAUACAUAUGCACAUACACAUGUCCAAAUCAUUGUAAUUUAUUUAUGUAAGGAUGUUGAGUACUUUUUUGCAGAUUCGAAAAUAAUAUACAGUUGUCAAUUCUUUACUGGACCCAAACAGAAUAGAAACAAAUAAGAUGCUUUGAAUGUCUGUGUCUUUUUGUUGUUGUUUGGUUUUUUGUUUUUAAGGUCAUCUGGCCUGACAUUCUGCAUCACAAAUUCCUGUUUGAACUACAUCCAAUUAUCUUCAUUUAAAAAUAUCUAGGCAUAGAGAAUCCACCACAGCCUUUUGUAAGUUGUUUCAGUAGUUGCCAUCCAUUGUUAAAAUCUGCUCUUUAUUUCUAAUCUCCGUUUGUCUGGUUCCACUUCCAGCCCUUGCAUCUUGUUAUGCUUAUAUCUGCUAGACUAAAGAGCCCUCUGUGACACCCCAAUAUUCACCACUGUCAUGUAGUUAGAGUAUGUUUUGUACACAGUGUGCCUUGUGAAUUAUCAUUCUAAAAGUCUUGAUCUGCUAGACCGUAAUAUCUCGUUGGAUUGUUUGUGCUAUUGUCAUAUAUGAAGUUAUAAAAUUUGGCUAUGUAUUUGUUACUGAGACGUGUUGUGAGGUUGAAAACACCCAUAAGCAGCCUUUCAGGUACAACAGUAAAAAGGCCAAACAAUGACUUAUUGAGGAAAUGCAUACAAACACAAGGAUUAGCCCAAGAAUUGUGUACAAUAGAAAUCUCUCAGAGAUAGCACUACGUAAUGGAAACGGUUUGACCCACAUCACAGCAAAAGAGCUUUCCAGCAAGUGGAAAGAAGCUAUAAAAGGGGGGAAAUGACAUCAUCGUGGGACCUCACUCUCCCGACACCAACACACCUGAUGGGCGAGGACUGAACUGUGGGAAAUGAUGAUCCCAGGCUAGAGGGCUUUUUAGCCUGUGUAUGAAAACCUGAGAAAGCCAAGGCAACUUGUUUAUCCUUAAGAAUCUGCCAGCUUGUUUAUCACUCAGGGUUAGAAUUUGCUAAUUCAUAUCCUGCCUAUCUAGUGUAUUAAGCUCAGUUUGCAGUUUUAUUUCUUUACUAAGGUAAUCUGUUUUGAUCUGUUUGCUAUCACUUAUAAUCACUUAAAAAUCUAUCUUCUGUAGUUAAUAAAUUUGUUUUUGUUUUGUGUGGAAAUUAUAA